GGUCGGGGUCUAUCUGGGAAACCAGGGCAAAGGCGGUGGCAGCUGGCAGCACCCACACCCACAGCUGGGGCACUGCUCACAUGAGCCCCCAUCAGCAGGCCCCUUGGUUGUGCCACAGGCAGGGGUCCUGCCCCAGGGAGGGGGUAGUUCGGGGGGGGCUCGAGGGUGUGGCACAGGCCAGCUGUCACUCCUCCCUGGAGAGGCAGCUGGGGACGCAGCUGGGAGGGGAGCCAGGAGCAGAGACAGCCCGGGGCCAGCAGGUGGGUGACAGGUGGGGCAGCGGGAGGGGCACGCGCCAUCCGCCUGGGGCUGGGGUGUAGAGACGGGAACCUGCCCCCCAAUGCCUGGUGCUGGCCCAGCCUCCCCCCGGGGCCUGUAGCACCUUCCCAGUUGUGUCAAUAUGUCUGCUAGAUAUCAAAAUGAGUGCAUGGGAUUUGAUAUAUGUACAUAGGUAGGCAUAGAAAUAGAGAUGCUCAAGGAUAUGUGUAUAUGCACAUAUGAAUAUGUGUGCAUGUAUAUACAUGUAUCCAUUUCCCAACUCUGUCUUUUAAGAGGAUAUAGAAACAAUAUCACCCCAGUAACAAUAAACACCCUAGUUCCCACAUCUUGAUUUCUCCAUACCAUUUUCUGCUAGAAGGAACCCUGGUCUCCUUGGAAAAAUGGAUGAUUCCAAGGCUUGGACAGGAAAUAUACAAGAUGAGUCUGACAUAUCUCAUGUUGAAAAGUAACAAACUACUCAAAGAAUAAUGACAGCAUGUCAAAAGGACACAAGAACCAACUUAAAGAGCUCCCACUAACCAAAUCUAGGGCAACUUAAUAUCAUGAUAAGUAUGGAUACCCUCAGUUCACUGAGAGAUUUGAGGUCAGGGACAGUCUUAGAAGACAAUAGANAACAGUGUUNCUGAGUGUUGCCCCUAGAAUGAGCAUUGUGUUAAUAUCAUAGAAAUGGGACACAUGUGUCCCCAGGUCCCAUACCUGGAAAUGUAAAAUAGUAUCCAUUAACAGCGUNNNNNNNNNNUCUGAGAGCCUGUGAAACUAGAGAGACACAGUAUCUUCUUCCAUACGCCUAGCAUUAAAUGGUAUAACAGGCAUGGGUUAGCUCUAUAUCUGUCUCCUUUUUCUCUAGAUGUUUGAUGAAACAAGUAUUUUAAUUUUGUAUUUCACUAAUUUAUUCAUUCAAUAAAUACUUAUUAGGUACUGACUAUAGACUCUUUAU
rnacentral:lncRNA from 1 species